CCUACGGGUGGCAGCAGUGGGGAAUAUUGCACAAUGGGGGAAACCCUGAAGCAGCGACGCCGCGUGAGCGAGGAAGUAUUUCGGUAUGUAAAGCUCUUUCAGCAGGGACGAAAAAAGACGGAACCUGACUAAGAAGCACCGGCUAACUACGUGCCAGCAGCCGAGGUAAUACGUAGGGGGCAAGCGUUAUCCGGAUUUACUGGGUGUAAAGGGAGCGUAGACGGCAAGGCAUGCCAGAAGUGAAAGGGCAGGGCUCAACCCUGUACAUGCUUUUGGAACUGUGGUGCUAGAGUGCAGGUGAGGUAGGAGGAAUGCGUGGUGUAGCGGUGAAAUGCAUAGAUAUUACGAGGAACACCGGUGGCGAAGGCGGCUUACUGGACUGUAACUGACGUUGAGGCUCGAAAGCGUGGGGAGCAAACAGGAUUAGAUACCCCUGUAGUC
rnacentral:rRNA from 1 species